rnacentral:rRNA from 1 species
GGGUCAGUAGGUUGGUCGUGCCCCCGGUACGUACUGGUCUCACUGAUUCCUCCUUCCUGAAGAACCGUAAUGCCAUUAAUUUGGUGUUGCGGGGAAACAGGACUGUUACUUUAAAAAAAUUAGAGUGUUUAAAGCAAGCUAACGCUUGAAUACAUUAGCAUGGAAUAAUGAAAUAGGACGAUCGAUCCUAUUUUGUUGGUUUCUAGGAUUGACGUA